UUCUCCCACAUCGGUGGGAGAAGUGGCAGGGGGAGCCUUGAGGCUCCUAUAAAAGGGGCCUCAAGGCUCAGAAAAAUUAUCGCUCGGAUUGCUUGGGUAAGCGAUGAGCAAACAACGAGUCUCUUUAGUUGAGGUCUGUUGUUUCAAGUAAUUUUUUCAUAGUGUGGGGGCAUGUUUACUGAAACAACUCCCCCAAAGGUAAACUCUGCUCUUAGGGUUUACGAUUUCAGCGGUUUGAUCGUCCGGCUCUUAGUGGGGUUUAUAAUUUUAGCAGUUUGAUCAACCCGUCGAAUCUGUGCCGUCGUCUGCCCUGGUUCCCGGCACCGUCGAAUCUGCGCCGUCGUCUGCCCUGGUUCCCGGCCGUAGCCUGCGUCUUGACUCAUUGACUUUGGGUAUCUUCACCUUCACUCCCCAAUCCAUAAUCUUCCUGAAUCAAGAUUUUCAGUUAAGUGGAACAACUGUGGAUGCUGUGGCUCCCAAGAUUUUCCGCUAGGGCUUCAAAGAAUUGGAAAAUUGAGAUGCUUUAUGAUGGCGCGUGCCCACUUUGUACGCGUGAGGUUUGCAGGCAAUGUCUCAAGAGCGUUAGAUUUUGUGAUGGAAAGUGAAAGCACAUUCCUGAUAGAUCCAACCGGUGGAGAAGAUGGUGAACCAACAGGGAUUUUCAAAGGAGUUGUUACCUCUGCAUGACGGAGGUUUUGCCAUUUCAUUGUUGCCCAGGGCAGAGGGGAAGCCCUACCAAAUUAUAAUAUUUAGGAACUUUGAAAUUUCCUUAUAGGAAUGCUUUGCAUACUCAAGAUCAUGUGACAGCUUGUUCUGAGCCUACACAUGCUGGGUCCAAAAGGCCACGAUUGCAGGCUUGUAAUAUUUUCUCCCAGAACUCAAAACGGAUUGCAGGCUUGUAAUAUUUUCUCCCAGAACUCAAAACGGUAUGAUAAACAUUUCAAUUGAACAUUGUGGAUAAUAGAUUGUUUUUACAUGUCAAAUAUUUUGCAGUAACCUACAUGCUUGACUAUCCAUUUGUCCAUUUUCAUCAAUAACUUUAUCUUUGUCCAAACAUGUUAAUUGUGUACUGAUUAGUUGAGGAAUAACGUUGGUUGUAUCUAUAGAUUCAAACUUAUAGAA